GGAUGCGAUCAUACCAGCACUAAAGCACCGGAUCCCAUCAGAACUCCGAAGUUAAGCGUGCUUGGGCGAGAGUAGUACUAGGAUGGGUGACCCCCUGGGAAGUCCUCGUGUUGCAUCCCUUCUUUUUGUCGAAAUUCGGGUUGAUUUUGCCGGCUCCUGACCGGUGAAUUUUCUCGGCUCUUCCUCUUGGCGGAAAGGCGAGACGGGGGCGGGGCGAGGCGAGGCGCGGGCGGGGCAGGAGAGGGAGGCUUAAUAGAAUUGAGAGCGCUGGGAAUGAC
rnacentral:rRNA from 1 species